rnacentral:rRNA from 1 species
UGAGGAAUAUUGGUCAAUGGGCGGAAGCCUGAACCAGCCAUCCCGCGUGCAGGAAGACGGCCCUAUGGGUUGUAAACUGCUUUUCCAGGGGGUGAAUUUCUCGGUCGUGACCGGGAUUGACGGUACCCUGGGAAUAAGCAUCGGCUAACUCCGUGCCAGCAGCCGCGGUAAUACGGAGGAUGCGAGCGUUAUCCGGAUUUAUUGGGUUUAAAGGGUGCGUAGGCGGGCCAAUAAGUCAGUGGUGAAAACCUGCAGCUUAACUGUAGACUUGCCGUUGAUACUGUUGGUCUUGAGUAUGGUCAAGGUAGGCGGAAUGUGUAAUGUAGCGGUGAAAUGCUUAGAUAUUACACAGAACACCGAUUGCGAAGGCAGCUUGCUGGGCCAUUACUGACGCUGAUGCACGAAAGCGUGGGGAUCAAACAGG